GGCAUUGUGUCAGAGUGGUUAAUGAGUGUGACUAGAAAUCACAUCCCUUCGGGGGCGUAGGUUCGAAUCCUGCCAAUGUCG
rnacentral:tRNA from 1 species